UACGGGGGGAGCAAGCGUUGUUCGGAUUUACUGGGCGUAAAGGGCGCGUAGGCGGCCACCGCAAGUCGACUGUGAAAUCUCCGGGCUUAACCCGGAAAGGUCAGCCGAUACUGCGGGGCUAGAGUGCAGAAGGGGCAACUGGAAUUCUCGGUGUAGCGGUGAAAUGCGUAGAUAUGCGGAGGAACACCGAUGGCGAAGGCAAUCCCCUGGACCUGUACUGACGCUCAUGCACGAAGGCGUGGGGAGCAAACAGG
rnacentral:rRNA from 1 species